rnacentral:rRNA from 1 species
UACGUAGGGGCCGAGCGUUGUCCGGAGUUAUUGGGCGUAAAGCGCGCGCAGGCGGCUUCGCGCGUCCGACGUGAAAGCCCCCGGCUCAACCGGGGAGGGUCGUUGGGUACGGCGGAGCUUGAGGGCGGUAGAGGUUGGUGGAAUUCCCGGUGUAGUGGUGAAAUGUGUAGAGAUCCCGAGGAAUACCAGUGGUGAAGACGGCGCCCUGGGUCUGUACUGACGCUGAGAUGCGAAAGCGUGGGGAGCGAACGGG